GACGAACGCUGGCGGCGUGCUUAACACAUGCAAGUCGAACGGAAAGGCCCCCUUGUGGGGUACUCGAGUGGCGAACGGGUGAGUAACACGUGAGUAACCUACCCUUGACUUUGGGAUAACUUCAGGAAACUGGGGCUAAUACCGGAUAGGAGCUCCUGCUGCAUGGUGGGGGUUGGAAAGUUUCGGCGGUUGGGGAUGGACUCGCGGCUUAUCAGCUUGUUGGUGGGGUAGUGGCUCACCAAGGCUUUGACGGGUAGCCGGCCUGAGAGGGUGACCGGCCACAUUGGGACUGAGCUACGGCCCAGACUCCUACGGGAGGCAGCAGUGGGGAAUAUUGCACAAUGGGCGGAAGCCUGAUGCAGCAACGCCGCGUGCGGGAUGACGGCCUUCGGGUUGUAAACCGCUUUCGCCUGUGACGAAGCGUGAGUGACGGUAAUGGGUAAAGAAGCACCGGCUAACUACGUG
rnacentral:rRNA from 1 species